UACGGAGGUUGCAAGCGUUAUCCGGAUUCAUUGGGUUUAAAGGGUGCGUAGGCGGGACGGUAAGUCAGUGGUGAAAGCCUGCAGCUUAACUGUAGAAUUGCCAUUGAUACUGCUGUUCUUGAGUGCAGCUGAGGUGGGCGGAAUGUGUAGUGUAGCGGUGAAAUGCUUAGAUAUUACACAGAACACCGAUUGCGAAGGCAGCUCACUAAACUGUAACUGACGCUGAGGCACGAAAGCGUGGGGAGCAAACAGG
rnacentral:rRNA from 1 species